rnacentral:tRNA from 1 species
GCUAAGGUAAGUUAAUAAAACUACCGGGUUCAUGCCCCGUCCAUACGUUUAAAGCGUCUUUAGCU